rnacentral:rRNA from 1 species
GGGAGAAAGGGGUAGCAAUAUCCCGAGUACACCGGCGCAAGGGUGAGUAACACGUAGGCAACCUACCUUCAGGACGGGGACAACCCCGAGAAAUCGGAGCUAAUACCCGAUGAUGCAACAGCACCGCAUGGUGACAGUUGUUAAACCCCGCAAGGGGCCUGUGGAUGGGCCUGCGCCCCAUUAGGUAGUUGGCGGAGUAAUAGCCCACCAAGCCGACGAUGGGUAGCUGGUCUGAGAGGACGACCAGUCACACUGGAACUGAGACACGGUCCAGACUCCUACGGGAGGCAGCAGUGAGGAAUAUUGCGCAAUGGCCGAAAGGCUGACGCAGCGACGCCGCGUGGAGGAUGAAGGCCCUAUGGGUCGUAAACUCCUUUUGCGAGGGAAGAACGAGUCGCUACAGGCGACCCUGACGGUACCUCGAGAAAAAGCACCGGCUAACUACGUGCCAGCAGCCGCGGUAAUACGUAGGGUGCGAGCGUUGUCCGGAAUCACUGGGUGUAAAGGGUCCGCAGGCGGGUCAACAAGUCGUUGGUGAAAUUCUGGGGCUUAACUCCGGAACUGCCGACGAUACUGCUGGUCUUGAGUACAGAAAAGGGAGACGGAAUUCCUGGUGUAGCGGUGAAAUGCGUAGAUAUCAGGAAGAACACCGGUGGCGAAGGCGGUCUCCUUGGUCUGUCACUGACGCUCAUGGACGAAAGCGUGGGGAUCAAACAGG